GUAUUUAAUUUUUCAGCUUUGUAAACAAAUCUAGCGUUGGAAAUUAUUUCAUUCUUAAAGUCUAACUAGUCCAGCUGUUCUGAAUAAAGAUACCUAGGAUAAUCGGAAAAGCUAUAGUUUAAAUACUUUUUUAUAUAUAUAAAAACCGGCAUAAAUAUUGGAAGAUUAAUCCAUAUCUUUAUGUUACGAAAAAGCAACAUACUAAAACUAUAUUAACAAAAGGGCGUAUCUUCACUGAGUCUUUUUAAUAAAAAGAGAAAUUUAUUCGAAAAUUUUCGUUGAGAGGGGAGGUAAAGCCAGGAAAUUAAAAAGAACAUAAGAUAUACAGAUAUGGGGCGCCGCCGCCGAGCGAAGCUUGAAGAUUUGGCGAUCGAUCGGGUUUUAACGUUGUAACUCCGAAAGUAUAGGUACUUUUGUUUAAAAUGUUGCUCGUCAAAUCUCUCGGCUAUGUCACUAUCUAUUUUAUACUAAAAUUAUAUUGCUAUUGUGUGAAAGUAAAUGAUAAUUAGACAUGUUUUCGUGUUUUUUUUUUUUCUAUCGAGCCAAUCUGGUAAGGUCUUGCGUGGAGACUGCCUCGCAAAUAUAAUCUAAAUACAUUCCGUGAGAUUUUUUUAUGAUAUUUGGUGAGAGUCAGAAUGGCGGGGUAAAUAAAAUUAAAUGAAAACCAUACCAUAUUUUAGUACCUAAUUUGUACUAUUUAGUACCUCCGUUAAAAAAAAUUGUACCUCACGGUACAUAAAGUUAUCAUCAAAAAGAAGUACACCCGCCACCCGCAAAAGUAUGGUAUGCUUUUAAUUCAUUUUUAUUUAGGUACAGCCGCCAUUCUAACUCUCACGAUAUUUGCCUUUGUAAAACGAGUCACAAUUUAAUAUAAAAAAGAAAAUUUUCGUUUUAAAUUUUGACUAAGCUUUAGGUGUUUUCUUUUUCUUUUCAUACUUUCUUAUUUUCUUGAACUCCUUAUUUAGUUUAUAAACUUCGAUGUAAUAAUUUGAGAAGCCACUGUUAAAAAAUCCAACGUUUUCCGAAACGAAAGAAAGAAAAAAAAAACAACUUCAAUAAGGGAGACCGGUGAAAGAAAGAUUAUGGUUAAUUUUGGAUUUCAUACAAUGAAAUUAAAAAGACAGCGUCCUACGCCUAAUUAUGUAGAAAAGGAGGUAAACUGUUUUAUUUUUGUCACUGCACCCACUUUGGCACAUUUCAGAUUUGCCCUAUGGUUGACUGGUAAGAUACCCGCAAUAGGUUAUUCGAAUAAAUUAUUUCAGUGUAGGCAUGAAAUAAAGCACUAGAUUAUUAUUAGAAAAAUAUAGAUACAAGUUAUUUUUAAACACAAGGAUAGAAAUAUAUAAAGUAGGUGAGUUGACCGUGACGUCAGUGUGUAAUGCUUGAUUUGUUGAUGAAAAUGCUAAGAUCACUAUAUAUGCCUUUAACAUUUGAAGAGUUCCCUCAAUUCGGUAUUGUCUUGGCUCGUCACAGUCGUUUUUUCUCGAGUUAUUAAAUUCGUCCCGUUCUGCUUUCGUCACCCAUUCUUCAUUUGUCACUUUCGUGGGUCGUUCAUAUCAUAAUUAGUAAAUAUUUGUUGUUUGUUUAUUUCUAAUUGCAGCUCAUUUCGUUAUUCGUGAACAUCUUCUUUGGGCAUGUUCGAUGUUAGUCUAUCUUGUUUUUAGACUCACUGGUUAAUUGUCCUGUCGUUUUUGGUAUUAUUCUAAGUUGGUAUUUUUCUUAUUCGGCCUCUUUUGGAAUUUAUAUAUUUCUUUGUUGGACACAUUAUCUAUUAACCUCGUUCGAAAUCAUUAGGGCUGUUUCCGAGAUUGCCGAAAUAUAUAUGUAUUUCACAAUCUAGUUCUGAAAUGUAUGUAUCAGGAAAUAAAGACGUGAAGUUUCUUGUUUAUGGCUCCCAAAUGACAAACGACAAAUUGUAACUUUACUAUAAUUAAAAUAGGAGUAGUUUAUUAGACAUUAGGAUAUAAAUAAAAAAAAAUAAUCUGUUCAAUGCGCAACUUUACGCUCGGCCAAACAACAGCGUGAGCAGUUUUACCGCGCCAGCGCACCGGCCGUCUCACUCUGUUCCCGUUCGUCUUAGGGAACGGACCCGUGCCGGCUGCCAUCACGCGCAUCGCGCCGUGUCUUCACACGCGCCGGACGGGCCUAAUUAUCCUUUAAAUUACGCGAUAAAAUAUAUAACAUUAAAAAGAAACAGUAAAUUGUUUAUUACAAGUUAUUAAUAAAAACGUAUUUAAGUUCCCGUCUUGUAACCCCGAGUAAAGGCCACUUUGUUGAACACCUGCCUUGUAACUCCAUUCUGGUAAUGAACACCCACCAGCUGCAUUCUGCCCCCGAGUCAUCAUUGGGGUUCACUCCGAGCGUUCCAAAUUCCAGGGUGCAAGUUCCGGACUAGAAAACACUCGGCGGCGUGGUUUCUUGUUUCCGGCCGGACGCAGAGUACCGAGGGACGCAGAGGCCUUCGUCCACAACUGCACUAGCUAUCCACGGCACUUCCCCAUCGUUCCCCAACCACCCGGGGCCGUCCAGCGGCGCGACCAGCUAGCGCGACAGGGGAGUGUACCGCCCUGCCUCGGAACCAGACAAGCUAAAUUUAAAUUAACGGACUUUUACUACGCCCAUCGCUGGGCAGUUCUUUUACCUAAAUUAAAUAUUUUUAUUUGAAAGCGUCUGGGUGUUUUCUUAAACACCCAGCUUUACCCGCUUCAAAAUAUGACCAAAGAUGACAAAGACUACCAGUGAAAGUGACGAAUGCAGAAUGAGAUGAAUUAAGAACUUGUCAAAAACCGAAAAGGACCAUCAACGAAUUUAUAUAAACGAAAUAAAUAUCAAGUGAGUCUGAAAACGACAUAGACUUACAUUACAUCGAACAUGCGGCAUGUAAAUUACAUGCCCAAAGAAGAUGUUGACGAAAGCAGAACGGGACGAAUUUAAGAACUUGACAAAAAACUAUUGAGACUGAGAUUCCUCAUGGACCCCAUCGUCAGAACUCGAACUUGUCAAAAAGACUUGAAAAUCUAAUUUGCUUAACAAACACAGAGAAGAGGACAAACCGCCAAACGUGAACUAUGCGUUAUUGAAGAGGUCCAUUCUGAUCAUCAUCAGCAGUUGCACUGCAACCAAUGUCACUUCUUUUAAAUGUAAAUGCUUGAUUUGUUAAGGAAAAUACAAAUAUCACUAUA